rnacentral:lncRNA from 1 species
CAAAAUAGACCCACAAGUAGUACAUCCGAGCCACACAAAAUGAAAAAAGAAAUGAAGAAAAAGGGGAAAGGGCCUCCCUAUUUCCCCACUGCUUGAGAAGAGACCUAGGGAGGCGGGGCCCGUUGCUAGGAACCGAUAGCACCUCCUCUUUCUCCGACAUGGGCGACGACGGUCUGUGGCAAGGCCUCCCUCUUCGACGAUGUCGGCCCCUCCGACCAUGCCUGAAUCCACCUUUCAUGGUGCUCUCGACCUCUUUCGAGCUUGCCACGCCUGCAUCUCAUCUCCAUCAGCACCGGGGAACUCGCCCGCGAGCAGUUCCAAAGCUGCCAUCCAUUCCUCCUGUGCACCCACACACCUCUGACCCCAAGUUCGGCUAGGUCGGUGGCCAAAAGCUCCUCCAUAUGCAAGCUGAGCUUGCUGGAUCCAAAUUUUUGGGGCUCCAAAGCCUCUCUGAGCUUUCUUGCGUGCCUCAUGUGUGACCGAGGUCAUCGGAUCCAUGGCCAUAAGCUCUUCUCCACUCGUGCCUCCCCUCUUCUUGCACCUAGUUCAUCGGAUCUGAACUCCCCCACUCGCAUAUUCCUCCUACUUACGUCAAACUCACCCUAGAUCUAAAGGUCUGAGGUCACUGCUAUCACUCCUCUUCCCCGACGGCACCUCUGAUGGCGCUAAGAUGCUCACUCAUGGGAUCCACUCUGAGCUCCCCACGAGCUCCUUCGAGUUUCUUUUGUUGGGCUCUAAG